GAUCCUGGCUCAGGAUGAACGCUAACGGCGUGCUUAACACAUGCAAGUCGAACGAAGCACUCUAUUUGAUUUUCUUCGGAAAUGAAGAUUUUGUGACUGAGUGGCGGACGGGUGAGUAACGCGUGGGUAACCUGCCUCAUACAGGGGGAUAACAGUUGGAAACGACUGCUAAUACCGCAUAAGCGCACAGGAUUGCAUGAUCCGGUGUGAAAAACUCCGGUGGUAUGAGAUGGACCCGCG
rnacentral:rRNA from 1 species